rnacentral:misc_RNA from 1 species
GAAAUUUUAUGGUUUCUAUAAAAAUCUAGUCAAUGAGGUAGGCCUAGCAUAGAAAUGUUCAAGAAGAUAUAACAGUUCAAUAGGAAUUAACUGCUGGGUAUGACAGUCAAGUUCUUUUAUUGAGGUUUGUCACUUAGGAAGGAUGAUUUUCUGUUCUGUGUUUUCAAGAAAUCAUGAACUUAUAUAUUAGUUUAUGAAUAUAUGGUUUAAGAAGAGGGUUCAGUAUAUUUACAUGAUCUACAUACUCACAAUUGGGUAUUGUUUGCAGGGGAUCUUGGUCAGAGUUUUGA